CCCUAAUUUCAUUUUCUUUUUUCUCUUCGUAAACCCCUAAUUCUUGCUCUGUUCACUCUCCGACGGUGUCCGUCAACACUUAUUUCUUUGUUCGAUUCAAUGGUGCUAAUGAAUUUCAAUGGCGCAGGUGUUGGCUUCGGCUAUAGAUGCUAAAAUUGAACAAUGGUCUGUGGGGAAGAAAGGAAACAUCCGUUCACUGCUGUCGACCCUGCAAUAUGUUCUAUGGCCCGGAAGUGGAUGGAAUCCAAUACCACUCGUUGAACAGAUCGAAGAAAAUUCAGAAAGUUUUACUGCGCUUGCAUCCCGAUAAGCUGCAGUAGUGCAUGUUUAGGAACAGGAAUAUUAAAAGAUUAUUGAAGAAUUCAUCUCAAGAACAUUGUUGUAAGUAAUGCGCGAGUUAAAUAAGAUGUUGUAUCUUUUAUACCAAUUUUGAGUGCUUCUUUAUUGAAAUUCUUUUUCAAUCUUAACUUGAUUUUAGAUUUCUUUUUACAAGUAAUUAUAUUUUGUCAACCAAUAAUUGCUUUUUGGUUUAGUUUGUGCGAUGGUUAUGAUGAUAUGGGUAUUUUGAGCUUUGAAUUUACUUCUACGACAACAUUCUCUUAUCAU